UAGUAUUUAUAUCUCCGAGCUUUUGCCCCUGUCGGUUGUAACCGUGGUGCCGGAGCCUGUACCUGAAUCAGCGAAUGGAUCGAUGAAUAUAAGUGCAAGUCAUUGCCGCGUCUGAGUUCACAAAAAAUGACCGCCGAACCUAUGGUGCGACUCACAUUUUUUGCAAACUCAUUCACGACAAGCACUUACACUCCUUUUUCACCGACCAGCCACUGAUCCAGGCUAAGGGUAGUGCUGGAAACGGCACUGCCUCCCGUGUUUGGAAAGGAGUUUCGCAGCACAUAUC
rnacentral:ncRNA from 2 species